UCUGGAAACAUCAACUGUGGCUCUCCAUGGUCACUGCUGAAAUGCUGAGCCUGGUCACUGAGUCCACUGCUUCUUACUGUCAGUCCUUGCCAGGUGGCAGCCUGCAGUGAAGAGCUGUGAGGCUGAAGGGAUCAACAUUUCUGCAGAGCCCUGAGUCACCUGGCAUAGCACUGGAUUUCAGUAAGGUGGAGGAACUGGAGUGAAAGCUGAGGCUUGCUGGAGGAAGAAGAUUCAAGAAUUCUUGUUUUGUGUGUGCUGUUGGGAUCUGGUAGGCUGCAGGAAGAGGGGUCCCUGUGCUGCUGGCUGUGGAAGGAGCAUGCCAGCUACAAGGUGCUCAGCCAGGCAGGGGACAGAUGGAAAGGGAUGUCCUGCACUGCCAGUGAACAGGCAGACCAAGCCACCAGCAGAAAGAUUGAGCUCAGAGCUUUUAACAAACCAUGACCUCAUGGUUCAGCCUUCUUCUCCAAGUCCUCCUCUGAGCAUAGAAGGCAUUCUUCAUUCGCUAAACUUGCUACUAAGGCAGCUUUGGUGGAAGUAAUCAGUUUCCUGAAAGUGGAGGCCUUUCCUGGCUGAGCACCCAGAGUUGGGGUUUGGAUGAACUGCUGUUUGGAAGAGCAGAGUGGGAAAAGUGGGAAGGUUUGCUGUGUGCUCCAUUACGAGAGACUGCAGACAAGAAUACAGAUCAACAAACAAUACCAAAAAUCAGAGAACCACUUUCAGUUGCCUGCAUUCAGAUGCUCCUGGUGAGCAGAGCAAAGCUUUGAAUGGAGAGCACAGCCUGCCUCCAAUCUGUCUUCCUCCUUCCUGGCCCUAAACAAGACUUCAGGCUGAGGGAUAAAAUGACCCCACC